UAGGGAAUCUUCCGCAAUGGACGAAAGUCUGACGGAGCAACGCCGCGUGAGUGAAGAAGGAUUUCGGUUCGUAAAACUCUGUUGUUAGGGAAGAAAAAAUGUAUAGUAACUAUAUACAAAAGAGACGGUACCUAACCAGAAAGCCACGGCUAACUACGUGCCAGCAGCCGCGGUAAUACGUAGGUGGCAAGCGUUGUCCGGAAUUAUUGGGCGUAAAGCGCGCGCAGGUGGUUUAGAAAGUCUGAUGUGAAAGCCCACGGCUCAACCGUGGAGGGUCAUUGGAAACUAAUAAACUUGAGUGCAGGAGAGAAAAGUGGAAUUCCUAGUGUAGCGGUGAAAUGCGUAGAGAUUAGGAGCAACACCGGUGGCGAAAGCGGCUUUUUGGCCUGCAACUGACACUGAGGCGCGAAAGCGUGGGGAGCAAACAGG
rnacentral:rRNA from 1 species